ensembl:lncRNA
CCUGCAUGCUGGCCGUGGGAGCGCCGAGGGGCGCAGGGUUAGAGCCGGUGAGGGCACUCAGGCCGCCGAGCCCUGUCCCUGUCCCCGGCCCAGAGUCCAGCCCUUCCGCGGGAGCGCGCGGUGGCCCCCAGCGUUCUGCGCUACCGGGAGCUGCAGGGCCGCGGAGACGGCUUCCGGGAGUGUGGUGGCCGCUGUGGUGGCUGACCCCGCCGGUCAGUUAGCCGAGUGGGCUGCCGGCCCCGCCUUCGCACUGCUGUCCCUGACCUGGGGGACAGGUGCCUGUGUGCGGACGGGCGCAGCGGUUCCCUGUGCCACCCCUGCUCCCUGCGCCCCCAGUGUCACGAAGACAGGAGCGGAGCAGAGAGGAGACAGAAUUUGUUCAGAGAAAAGAAAUCCGCGGAGGCCGGCCAGCUGCCCUCCUGCUUGCAAACCAAACAGGUGGAGAGGCCUGGAGCCCUGCAGGCGGGGUGGGGCGGGGCGGGGGUGGGGGCAGGGGUGGGGGCAGUCGGUGGAGCUGAGCUUCUCCAUACGGGUUCUUCAGGUUUCACUCUGGCUUCCCAACCCCGGGAAGAAUGCAGGGGUGGGGUGGGGUGGGGACCAACACAGGGUGUGAGACGGAACUGGACUCUUGAAAAAAUGGCUGAGGCUUCUAUCCUUGUUCCGUCUCCCAGGAGGCCCCCCGGGGUGGGGAACAGGUCGUCAACCCCGUGUGAGCACAUGCGGAGGCUCCAGGGACCGCACGUGGAGACCCCCAGGGGGGGAACAGGUCGUCAACCCCGUGACCACAAGCGCCGCUGUCUAGUGGUGGGGACGCACCUGCCACCUCCCGGUGCUGAGAAGCCACAGCCGCCCUGGCCCCAGGCUUCUGCCGCCUCCAGCCUGGACCCUGCACAGCCCCAAUGGGAUUCCUGUGCCCCAGCAGCUGGCCCGGAUCUGGGGGUGUCCCCACCACGUCCCACCAGGGGGCGCUGACUUCCCAUUCUUGCUUUCUCUUUCCCCAGAGAGCCUCAGCCGCCAUCCUGAAGACAACACUGUGCCAGCUGUCAAAGCCGCGGUGCCAGCCCCCAGGCCCCAGGUCCCCUUCCCAUGAUGCCGGCCCCCAGGCCCCUUCCUCAUCAAGAGGAAGAAACCGCAGCCCCUGGGGCUGGCACUGUGGUGUGGCGGGAAAAGCCAUGACACUGGCGUCCCACAUGGGCACCGGUUCGAGUCCUGGCUGCUCCACUUCUGAUUCAGCUCUCUGCUAUCGCUUGGGAAGGCACUGGAAGAUGGCACAAGUGCUUGGGCCCCUGCACCCGUGUGGGAGACCCCGAGGAAGCUCCUGGCUUCACAUCAGCGCAGCUCUGGAUGUUGUGGCCAACUGGGGAGUGAACCAGCGACAGAAGGUCUCUGUCACUCUGUCACUCUGCCUUUCAAAUAAAUAAUAAAUCUUAAAACUAAUGCACAGCCCCGAGGACAGCUCUGGCUGGACCCAAGAGUGCCUGCGUGCAGUCACUGGCCUGGGCUGGUCCUGGGAGCCUGACCCACCCCGCAGUGCUGAGCAAGGCUGCCUGGAGGAAUUCCGGGCCUGCUACGAGGCCCGUGAUCAGGGAAUAGCAGCGAAGGAAGAGCGCGCCCAGGUGCAGACGCACAGCGGCUGGCUCUGAGCUUUGGCUAACAGGGCUGCGUAGCGGAAUCCGCGUGCAAGGGGAGGGAACCUGAACACACCUCCAUAUCCGCCGAAAGCGACUGCAGAGGGCCAGGGGCCCAGAUUAAAGUGCAAAACCGCGACGGUCCUGGAGGAGGCCCGGCGGACCUGGGCUCCUGUGUGGCCUGGUUCGACGCCGAGGCUUUCGAGAUGUGGACAACGUCACCAUGAAGAAGGACUUUAUUCCGCACUUCUGGGCUGCGAACGAGAUGGCACGGGACUGGGAGAACGGCCCCAGACACCCAUCCAGGCAGGGGCUCGCGCGGCCCGGGAAUCAGAAAGCAGCUGGCUCACGCUCCGCCCCAUCUCCUGUUACGGGGCCUCCCGUGGGUGGGGCUGGGGCUGCGCCAGGCAUACAGAAAACAGCUGAUUUGGCUCAUAGCUUUGGGGGUUCAGGAGCACGGCCCCCAUGUCUCCUAGGCCUUGGGGAGGGCCCGCUCAGCGUGUCGCAUGGCGGGAGCCGUCAUGACAGGGAGCAGUCACAGCAGUGAGGAAGGAGUCCAGGGAGCGGGAAGGGGCUGGUCUCGCUGUCCCCCCAUGAACAUCUCUCGUGGGAACUAACAGGUCCCCAGAGAACCCCCUCGCCUUGCUCUAGGCACCCCCCAGGAAGGCUCUGCCACCUCCCAACCCCGCCACCCGGA